GUAGGGCGCCUGUGCGUCGUGACAUCUCUGCUGGGAAACUGCGGCCCGUGUGCUUCGAGGGUUUCGCACUGUCGACGUUGGGCAGCCCAGUUGCGUCGCCUUCAAGAAGGGACGCGUCAGAGGCCAGGCAAACAGUAUCUGCAGAUUUGGCCCUUGUCCCUUCGCGCAGAAUUGUCCCUUCCUUCUUGAGAUCCCGCUAGUGCUAGUGGAACGCAUGCCCAGAAUUUAAUGAAGAAGACUCAUUUUCUAUUUGUGUGCUGUGUGGCAUGGUGCGGCCUCGCAGUCCUGGCGACCCUCCUUCAAAGUCUCCGAAAUCAACCAGAAGAGGAUUUAGGGGCGUGCCUUCCACGUCGGUUUAGUUCUUUUCGGUCCGCCCACUUUUCUGGGACAGUAGCAGAGAGCACUCGCUGAGCUUUUGGCCACCUCUCAACCACACUGCUCUUGUUGCCUCUGAGCACUGAAAGACAAACCCCAGGCUGGGAACCUAUACCUGAAGUGAAGCAUUGAGUGAUCACCACCAGCACAUAGACCAUGCAGAGGCAGGCCACUGUGCUAACCACCACUGGGUCGUCCUCGAAAGUGGCAAAGAGCUCCGCAGUCUGGUGGACAUCAACGGCAUUGGGCAUCACCAGGAACGUGCUUCCAAAGAAGCACUGGGGGAGGCAUUCAGGGCUUCUGUGUGCGAGAACUCUACUACCGAGCCACGCCCUCAGGCUAUCACAGGAGAAGUGACAAAGGCUUCAGCCUGCCUCAUGUUCUUCGGAUGUCUCUCUGUUAGAAUGCCUGGAUCAUGUGAACGUUAUGUCUGAGCACUGCACCGUGCCGUCCGAGGAGUCCCGUUCAGCACAGAGCUUUUCUGGUACUUUCUGUGACUGUGUCUCUAGAGCACCCGGUGGGUUCUGAGACUGUGGAAUGGACGCUGCGUUCAGAACCCUGUCUAGCUCUGGUAGGUUCAGUGCCCUGGACCCCUGAGAGUUCAAACGCCUUACCUGUGACGGUGACGUUCCCCAUGUCCGUGCUCAAGUCUGAGACAGCGUUCCGCACACGCACGGUGACCAGAAAUGUGCCUGCAAUACAAAGUCACUGACAUUGUCACAUUCUGUGACACAAGUGGAGACAGCUCUCUCUCGGUGUUCCUGUAUGGUUGACCGAGGGAAACCCUGGAAUCCCUCAGCCUCUUACACACUGAAGAAUCCUACAAUACAUAAGGCCUGGGCCAAGGCUCUGGGGACACACAGGAGAAGGAGCAUGACACUUAAUAUACACAAAGGUAGAGAAUGUCACCCUGUGACAAGGACUGGCACUGGGCGGGGACUAAAAGGGAAAUGAUGGACGAGUAUGAUAAAAAUAUAUCCAUAUAUGAAAUUUUCCAAGAAUUAAAAAAAAAAAUAUGAGAAGUGUCCAGGCUGAGCAUUCCUGCAGACAGCUAGGAACUCAAAGGGUGGCAGACAGUAUGUAUUCCCUUACUGAGGAGGGUCUCAGGUAGGGUCACCAAGUAAGCCGUCAUUGUACCCAGGACUAAAAAAUUGAUGGAACCGAAUCAGAUAUAUUUAUGUAUAUAUAUAUAUAUAUAUGGGCCUGGAAGGGGAGCUACCAACCCCAGUACCUUCAACAGGAAUCGCCACGUGGUAGGUCCCGGAUGACUGCCCACCACUCUCUUCCUUCUGCGAGAACUUUGCGUUGAGUCCUGCCACCUCAAUGGUCACCUCCUCCAGGGUACCACGAGCCAUUGAGAC